GGCUCCAGCCAUGAUUUUCCUCUUCCCGGUGCCCUUUUCCCAUUAACUUUGUCUUGUUCUCCACAUAGUCUUGGACUUGGGGAUAUUCAUGCAUUGUUCUUUUACAUCACUAGAGAAUAGUUGAAAAUGAGAAGAUUAAUGCAGAAAAGUCAUCAAAACAGAAGGUGGAUCUACAGUCCUUGCCCACCCGUGCCUACCUGGACCAGACAGUUGUGCCUAUCUUAUUACAGGGACUUGCUGUGCUCGCAAAGGAAAGACCACCAAAUCCCAUCGAGUUUCUAGCAUCUUAUCUUUUAAAAAAUAAGGCACAGUUUGAAGAUCGAAAUUGAUUCUUGGGAAGAAAAGAAACAUUUGGUUGCUACUGUAGAUUUACAUGAUUACGAGGCAGCUUUUGUUGCCAUGAUUCCCCUCCUCACUCUGGAAGUCUAAGAACCUUCAGGACCACGGAACUCACUUCUGGAGUUGCAGAAGACAGCAUAUCCCUGUCUGAUUUAAUCACCAUACUUAUUUAAUGAGUGUCAUCUGUGCAAUUUUUUUCUCAGAUUGUCUUUUACUUUGUUUUUAAAAAGACCUUCAAAAUAAACUGUUAAAGCAUCUU
rnacentral:lncRNA from 1 species